UACGUAGGGGGCUAGCGUUGUCCGGAAUUAUUGGGCGUAAAGAGCGCGUAGGCGGCUCGGUAAGUCCGCUGUGAAAGUCAAAGGCUCAACCUUUGAAUGUCAGUGGAUACUGCCGGGCUAGAGUCCGGAAGAGGCGAGUGGAACUCCUGGUGUAGCGGUGGAAUGCGCAGAUAUCAGGAAGAACACCAACGGCGAAGGCAGCUCGCUGGGACGGUACUGACGCUGAGACGCGAAAGCGUGGGGAGCGAACAGG
rnacentral:rRNA from 1 species